rnacentral:lncRNA from 1 species
AUCUGGUGGCUCUCAAUCGGUGUUGGCCUUCCAUCGAACACCUGGUGGGUGCUAACUGCUAAGUGCAGUACCUACUCCGUGGACGAGUUUAAGUAUGUCUGCUCCAUACAUGUCUCCUGCAUGUCCCAUCCAGGAGCUCUGGCUCACGGAAGAUACAAAACCAGCACCAUAGUCCAUCUCACAUCAAGCGGAAAGGCAGAGCAUGUACUCAGCAAAUUCCUUGUUGAUGAACAGCCACAGAAAAAUCAGCACCAAUCAAGGGAUUUUACAGUACUGAUUUGGAUAACAGUAUUCAGUACCAACCCUCACCUCGAAUGAAUGAGCUGCAGCACAACUUGCAAGCGCCAACCACAAACGCCGCUGCUGAACGCAUCCGCAUGAGCUGCUGCCGCCAACCCGCAUGAACGCCCCUGCUGCCGUGUUGAAUUUGGGAUGAAUUGGUGGUAGUCACCAGCAGAUCGCCGCCACCAACACCAAAAUAGUUUCGCUGGCACAGUUCACUGGUUGACGCUGGGAGGGAGGUGGCCGCCAAUGCCAUGGAGAAGAAAAACGCCACCAGAGAAAUCGGAGGUCGGCGACUUGAUGAAGACCCUAACUGAAGCUAGUGAAUAAUUGCAAUUACUGAAAGAAAACAGGGACAAGAUCAAGUAACUGCAAGGAACUGUAGAUAUAUUGAUAAGAACAGACGCAAGGUUGGUACAAAGAGGAACAAGGAAAUUAGGG